UACAAUAACUAAUAGGGUGUAAAUGCUGUGUAAAGAUUGUACCUGUUUGGUACAGAUGCAAUUUGGUUUUUUAGAUAUUUUCUGUCUGCCGGUGGUUGAAACUUUGGAUGCAGAUCCCAUGGAUCCAGAAGGCUGACUACAUGUGGAAAAUUGUAAUCUGCCCUAAGGAAUUCCUUCGCCUGUGCUUGAUGAAAACCCUGAUCUACGCUGCAGCAGAAGACUUGCCGCCCCUCCGGAGGCAUGCUGGGCAGGGGCAGAGUGUGGCCGUCUGAUGGGGCCCUGAUCCCACCUGUGCUCUCUGCAGCCUGGCCACAGCAGUUGUGUCACACAGAUGCUGCCCUUUUCUAAAACCAAAUAUCGAUGGUGAUCCUCUAAACAACGUUCACAAAAGUGCCACUGGAUUCAUGACAGCUUGUUGCUCCUGUGUUUUCCAGUCAUUGCUGUUAAAGCAGCAGGAACCGGGUACCUCGAUCCUACAACCACAGGAACGGAUUCUGUCAACAACCUGAAAAAGCAGGAACCAGAUUCUUCCCCUCAACUCUCCGGAAAGGAGCCGGCCUGCCAAGGCCUUGAUCUCAGCCUGAGGAGACCCACAGACUCUGGCCCAAGAACUGUAGGAUGAGAAACUUUGUAUUGUCUUAAAACACUACAGUUGUGGCAAUUUGUUACCCCAACAAUAAAAAAUGAAUACAGUGA